UACGUAGGUGGCAAGCGUUGUCCGGAAUUACUGGGUGUAAAGCGCGUGUAGGCGGCAGACCAAGUCGGCGGUGAAAGCGCCCGGCUCAACUGGGCGAGGUCCGUGGAAACUGGUCAGCUGGAGGACGGUAGAGGCGAGUGGAAUUCCCGGUGUAGUGGUGAAAUGCGUAGAGAUCGGGAGGAACACCUGUGGCGAAGGCGGCUCGCUGGGCCGGUACUGACGCUGAGGAGCGAAAGCGUGGGGAGCGAACAGG
rnacentral:rRNA from 1 species